rnacentral:lncRNA from 1 species
GAGCACAACGUCGAAAGCAGCCGUUGGGAGCCCAGGAGGCGGGGCGCCUGUGGGAGCCGUGGAGGGAACUUUCCCAGUCCCCGAGGCGGAUCCGGUGUUGCAUCCUUGGAGCGAGCUGAGAGCUCGAGAACCUGCUAAGGCCAUCAAACCUAUUGAUCGGAAGUCAGUCCAUCAGAUUUGCUCUGGGCCGGUGGUACCGAGUCUAAGCACUGCGGUGAAGGAGUUAGUAGAAAACAGUCUGGAUGCUGGUGCCACUAAUAUUGAUCUAAAGCUUAAGGACUAUGGAGUGGAUCUCAUUGAAGUUUCAGGCAAUGGAUGUGGGGUAGAAGAAGAAAACUUCGAAGGCUUAACUCUGAAACAUCACACAUCUAAGAUUCAAGAGUUUGCCGACCUACCUCAGUGAUGUCACCAUUUCUACCUGCCAUGUAUCGGCGAAGGUUGGGACUCGACUGGUGUUUGAUCACUAUGGGAAAAUCAUCCAGAAAACCCCCUACCCCCACCCCAGAGGGAUGACAGUCAGUGUGAAGCAGUUAUUUUCUACGCUACCUGUGCACCAUAAAGAAUUUCAAAGGAAUAUUAAGAAGGACUCCUAGAAGUACCCCACCCCACCCCUGCUCCUUGGAGGACAACGUGAUCACUGUAUUCAGCUCUGUCAAGAAUGGUCCAGGUUCUUCUAGAUGAUCUGCACAAAUGGCUCCUCUCCUCCUUCCUGAUGUCUGCCAUUAGCACUGGAAUAAAGUUCCUGCUGAAAAUCCA